UUGACUUUUUAUACGUUCAAAAUUUGGGAAAACUUCCUUCAUGAAAGUUGUAGAGCUCGUCGAUACGAUCGCGGGCAUAUGCGGAACGCAAAAAUCGGAGUUCGUAUGAAUUAGUUAUGAUUUUUUGAAAAAGUUUCCAAUUUAGUAUAAAGCUUCCAUUUUCGGAAAUUUCCGAAAAUAUUUUCAGAAUUUCCAAAAAUGGAAACCGGCUGCAGAUUUCCUCCCGAAGACGGAAAUCGCCUCCAAACUUCCACCGGCCAUAUCUUCCUCCACCGGCCACCGAUCCUCACCAAACUUCUUCCAUUGGCUUCGUAUGGUCCUUGCGCACACGUCUGUGGAAGCCUUGCACGACGGCGCGGCCUGUAGCGGCGGCGGCAAGCUUGGUCCGAUUUGAGUUCGAUUUUGAGUCAACGCCGAUAUCUUGAGUUUCCGGCCACCUUUCUUUGUGAUUCUUGGCUUGAUGAACUCGCCUCAACCUUCUGAUCAUCAUUCUAGAAGGAUCGCACCUGGAGUGAUCGGAUUCACGUUCGUCGGAGCUCGCCGGAUUCUGGAAAUUUUCCACCACCACCGAAGCUUUUGAUAGGUAUAUCUCGAGCUGCAGUGCAUCGUUUUGAUUGAUUCUUGAACCAGUGAGUUCUCCUUGAUGUUCUUAACAACUUUCUAGAAGGGAUCGAAGCCUGAAAUUGAAGUUUUGACGUCGAAAUCAAGCCUUGCCGGAUUCUGCAAAUUUCGCCGGAUUCUGGAAAUUUUCCGGCCACCUCGACUGUUUUAGGUGAUUGACGGUCUCCCUUGGGUGAGCGAUUUCGGUGUGUAUUGUGUUGAAUUGAAGACGCAGCGGGAAUAUCGAGCGGGUAAUCCUGCAGGUCAGGAGAAUCAGGACGGUGAUCGUGCGGGUUAGAGCAUUUGUUUUAGUUUUACAGCAAUUGUAAUUGUGAGGUGAGUUAUGCUCAUUUGAGCCUUGCAAUAUAAUUUGGUGAGAGUGUGCUGUAAUAAACAAAUUUGAGAUUUGGUUUAUGUAAUAUCGAGCGAUGUGAGGUGUGGUUGUUUUGAGAAAAAAAUUCAGGUUGUAUUUAUGUGAGUUGUAUUAAUUCAUGUUUCGGAUUUGAAUUUGUUAUUCAAAAUUCGGGGCG